UUGUCCUUAGUUACCAGCACGUUAUGGUGGGCACUCUAAGGAGACUGCCGGUGACAACCGAGGAAGGUGGGGAUGACGUCAAGUCAUCAUGGCCCUUACGGCCUGGGCUACACACGUGCUACAAUGGUCGGUACAAAGGGUUGCCAAGCCGCGAGGUGGAGCUAAUCCCAUAAAACCGAUCGUAGUCCGGAUCGCAGUCUGCAACUCGACUGCGUGAAGUCGGAAUCGCUAGUAAUCGUGAAUCAGAAUGUCACGGUGAAUACGUUCCCGGGCCUU
rnacentral:rRNA from 1 species